UUUUUUUUUUUACCUGUGCUUCACAGUACUGACAAUGAACCAGGAUAAAUAACCAAGUUCAUUAUAGGCUUCUGUAAGAAUUGUGAAAAUGCAUGCCAUUUGUUUCUUUAUCUUUUAAACAAGAUAAAAGCAAGUAAGCAGAUAUACAUGAGACAAAAUGCCAUUUUCUAUUUAUUGGCGAACAUUUGAUCUCAGUGGACCUAUAACUCUGCCAAAUUUAAGGAAUUCUGUUAAUAGCUCAAAGUAUAUGAAGGUUCUACUCACUUAAAGGUGAAGUGUAGUACAGAAAUGAUUCGAUGAAAUGAAAUCAUAUAGUGUUCCUGUCUUGAAAGCGUUAGCAAAACCAGGAUCAGUUGUGACAGUCAUAGAAUGAGAUUAAUAAAUAACAACAAUAAUAAAAACUGAGCUCUAAACCCCAGAAAACCAAUUUUGAAACAAUUACAGACAACUAUUAUGGGGUGCCUCUAAACAGUUUUUGCUAAAUUCCCUCAGCACAGCGCUGAUGACAAUAAUGUGCAGCGUGUAUGCAAUUCACAGCACACACUUGAAAAUGUACUCUGCUGUAUUUUGUACUAAUGAAUAAGGCCACCGGCUUAAUAUACCAUCGUUAACAAUAGAAUUGUUCACAAGUGUGAGGGUACAAUAAUGUUUUUCCGUUGUGACUUCACAGCCAGGAGAGAGGUAGCUUUUUGUGUGGGUGGUUUUAAAGUCAUUAUUGAGGCUUCUGUGGCUAGUGGAGUUAUACCAUUAUGCCUCGAUUCUAGCUACCAAAAGCCUGGAAUCAAGAGGGGACAUAUGCACUUAGAAGAUACUAUUUUCUUUAACUGAAAUGGUGAUGGUUCUAGGCAAAGAAAUCUGUGUUUGGCUACCAAAACAGUGGGAAAGGCAGUCAAAGAACGUUGAAUAAUGGUGGGUCUCUAACUUCUAAGUCAAAGAAAUUUGCGACAUCAGUCAGGUCAGGCUCGGAAUCUAAUUCUGCUUUGACAGGCAUUUUGUGAACUCUCCAGUUAUUGAGUGAAAUCAACAUUCAUGACAGCGUUCUCAGAAAAAUAAAACAAGAAGUAGAACAUAACAAAAGUGCUAAGUUGUAAAAACUCUGCUGCUAAUAAUGAAUGCUGUGAACAAUCACCUAGUUAGAGAAGUCAUUAACCUUCACUAAUUUUUAUCAUUUUUCUUUUCAAUGUUUCAUUGGAUUUUGUACACAUAUGCCAAAAAAAAUCAAAAUUCAUUAUAUAAAGUGAUGUCACCAAGAUAACAGUUAGUGAAAAAGCUGUCCAAUAUCUGUCUAUUAAUGAGUCUUUGACCACAUCAGCUGACAGUUUCUUUUUAAGUUUCAUAUUAAAAUGUUUCUGCUGUUAAAGCAAUUAUUUUUUUCCAAAUCAAUAACCAUUUCUUCUCUUGACUUUCAAGAGUCCCAGCUUUGCUGUUAUUGUUUAUUUUGAGACAUGUUAUUUAAAAUAGCAAAGUUGUCACUGUAUUUUGUUAAAUAGCACUAUUAUAUUUGAUAACUAUUCGAUGGAUAAAUAUUCUGCAAACCACGUUUCUUCAGAGGAUCAUAGCUUUCUACCUCUUUGGUCUGUAGUACACAUUCUACAGAGUUUUGGGAGCUCUAAAGUGGAUGUCACAAUUUAAAAAUUUAAAAAAAAAUCUUUGUUUCUAAUUUGGUCCUAACUUCUACUGGUUUUGUGGCCUUGAGAAAAUUACUUCAUUUCUGGACCUUGACUUCUCUUUUUGGAAAAUGUGAAUAACAGCAUGGCUUCUACUGAUUAUUAGGGGAAUUAAAAGAAAAAAAACUAUAUGUUGAGAUUACAGGGAAAAAAGUUCUGUUAGAGGUGACAGGGAGACAGAAAGGAUAUCCAGCAAACCAAAUACAGCAGAAAAGCUAGACUGGCUAGCCAGUCAGGUUUGUUGUUGUUGUUGUUGUUUUCCCAUUUGAGUGCUUUUAAACAAUGCACCCGCCUUCAAGUUUACACAAUCCCUUACAUUUAUAAUAAAUAACACCUGACAGCCAUACCAUAUUCUAUCUGCCUCAAUUCCACAGGUACCAGCGUUAUAACUUCUGGCAGCAAGUCCCACUUGAUAGACUCAGGAUUCUCAUCUCUUCUAGUCUCUAGAGUGGCAGGAUAUGAUCACCAGGUGUACCUAAACUAAACUGCCAGGGAACAAGAGUGAGCACCACCCAUCUGCAAACAAAAUCCCAUGUGACCUAUCUCACUCAGAGAACAUCCCUGACAAAGCUGGGCAGAGUUGUGUGGCAUGGCUCCCUGGAUCAGAAAAAGCAGGAGACAGGUUGGAAUGCCUGUUUCUGCCUCAGCCCUGACCUUCAAGUCCUGCCAUCCCUUGUUAUCUUGGCCACUGUCUUUAGACUUCAUAUUCUUCCUCUCAUCCUCCCUUCCUCCUUCCCUCUUUGCUGGCCGUUAGUCAGCUUACCCAUUUGGGGCUGUGCUGUUUAUCUGUCUCCUGGGCCAUGUGACUUUGAUGACUGUCUCUCCUGAUUCUGAAUCCCUCUCUUCUUUGCUUUGCAAUCUGCGAGCAUUGCCAAGUUCAUGCCGGUGCUUUAACAAAGGUUUCAUGCUCAGUGUCCUAGGAGAGCUUCCAGACUUUUUUUUCACUGAAGUUACCCUAGGCAGAGGAAUGAACAUAUACCCCUGGGGGGACCUGGGGGCUUAGCCCAAAGCAGCCCAAAGCAAGCUUAAAAGAGCUUUAAAGUAUUAUGUUUUGUUUUAAAAAUUCAUGUGAAUUUUAAAUUCUGUUCCAUAAAUAUCUCCAUAUUUGUGUUAGUAUUAAAAUAAUAUUCCCCCAACUUGUUGAGUAAAAUUGAUGCUCCCGGAAGAUGUGUCAUGUUAAUCCUACGAUAUUUUGUGCGUAUUGUUAUAGCAUCAUCUACCUUCUAAGGAUUUACAUAUUCACCUAGGGAUUGACUUCUUCUCCAAUCCUGGUAUUUCUUCCCACGUGAAGGGAGACCUACUAGCAUAAGUUCCCUGGCCAAUUAUAAACACUUCCCCUUCCCCAAUUUCUUCCCAGGGGAGACUAGGCGGUCUUAAUCUGCUUGGUAAAUUUUAAAGGAACAACUGCUCAGCCAUCAUUCAGUUCCUUUUUCUCUCUCUUAUUUUCUCUCUCCUGUUCUCUCUCUCUCCUUUCCUCCCUCUCUCUUUCCCUCUCUCCUUGCCUCUGUCUCUUUUUCUCUCUCUCCUGAAAGCAAGCUUCUCACAAUAUGCACAAUGCUACUUUCUCUAGAUCAUAGUGUUUGAAAGGGCGUGUGCAUGGUGAUAGAGAACAGAGUAGGGUUUACCUUCAAGAGAGAACCUUCUGGGAAGCUGGGAAAGUGCUAUAUCUAGGAGGUGCAUACACAGGUGCAUACAUGUAUAAAAUGUUACCAAGCUGUAGACUGUUUUUGGCUUUUUGUAUGUUAAUCACUGCAAAAGUAAAAAAAAAAAAAAAAGGCAAAACAAUAACAACAAAAAACUACUAUUUUAAAAGAGGGGUUUGGUGGUUUGGUACUUCUUCCCCCUAAGGCAUUUCUAUGCAGUUCCAAAUUCUGUCUAUGGCCUAGUAGGGCAUGUUUUUCCGUUUCUAUUAUCUAAAAUCAGUUUUAUCAGUAAAUAGGGUGAUAUUUUGAUCUAACAUUCCUCACCUUUUUAUUUCUCUGUUGGUUCAGAACUCUGAAAUGCUGUUUAUCAGUGUGACUCUAGAAGUCUUGGUAACUUGGAUGGGCAUCCCCUAAGGAAAGAGCUGGCUGGCCUGUAUGCUUCCCUAUCAUGCAGGAUAGGUGAAAUUGUGGCCUAGGAAUCACAGUGAUAUCUGAGACAAAUCCCUAAGUCAGAGCCAUAUACUCUGUCAAAGGUGCUAGGACACAGGCUCACAAUCAGGACUCUGACCAGCUAGCUAGUGUGACCAUUACCCCAUUCUAUAGUCAGGGAAACAAUUAGCCCACAGCUUGGCAUAUAGUAGGUAUUUCAGUAAGUGUCAUUCUCUUCACCUUCUUCUGUUCCUUGAUUUGAACUUUUGUGUCGCCAUCGAAAAGAAAUAACUGACACAUUAUAUAAAAGCUGUAUUUUCAAGAAGAAAUAAAAACAUUGGUAACAUGGAAAGAGAAUUUCUAGAUAUCUAACCCUUCAUCAGUGUUUUAACCUAACCACACUGAGAUACUGCUAAGCGAGGAAGCGUUUUGUUGUAUGCCGUUUUCACAGAGAAUAUUUGACAGAAAUUUGGUGACAGGCUACAAAACUACAUGCAGACAUGGUCAGAGUUCAAGUUAUGCUUAAUUACAGGCUGUCAGUUACCAAGUGGGAAGUUCAAAAUGUAGCAGUUAACCAACACACAUGCUAACCUAUUCCACAAGAAGAAAAACAUUUUUAAACAGCAUUUAACAUUUGCUACAAAGCUCUGGAAAGAAGCCAGAGGAAAAUAAACAAUUAAAAGAUUGUUUCAAGUGACAAAUCUACUUGUCUGAGUAAAUAAGAGGAUGGCACUAGCAUUUGGAAUGUGCUGGUAUCCCCAGGAAGGUAGUGAUAAGAACUCAUCACAGAAUUUACUGAAUCACGGUCACUCCUUGGACAGUGAGUGUGUGGCUAGAGACAGACAGGGCCAGAGUGUGGUCCCACUGGGCUAACCCUGGCUGAGCUAACCCUGGCAGGCUGCAGGUCGACUUUUUCAGAUUGGAAACAGGAAUGGAAUCAGCGCUGCCAAUGACAUUUGGCUGAGAGCAUAGCCUUGAGGUCACAUGGGACCUUGUGAAUGACCCACCUCUCUGUGCCUUGGUUAGCUCAUCUGCAAAUUAAGAACCAUUUCAGUACCUAUCACAUGCUGUUGUGAGGAUUCGGGGAUUUAAUAAAUGUAAAUGCACUUAGAACUAGGCCUGGCACAGAGUCAUCACUACAUGUGUUAGCUACUAUUAUUUUUGUCUGCCCAAACUAAGAUGUUUAGGAAAUCUCUUCAUUAGCAGCACCAUCUGCAGAUUAUAAAAGCACACACAUACACACGCUGAUCUAUAUUUCUGUCUGUAUAAGCCCAUUAAAAUUCCUGUGUCAUUCUUCGCAUGGGGUGACUGUUCAUACACUGGGUUCAAAUAACUCA
rnacentral:lncRNA from 1 species